GACUAUGUCAGGAAGACUCUGGACCCCACCUACAUCCUCAGCUACAUGGGUCCCUGGCUCCAGGAUGGUAAAAUGCAACCAUAACCAGGGAAGAGGUCCCCCAGGAUGAAUAAGUAGAUCAGUCUGGAAAUGACUCGGUAGGACAAAGGUCAAGAUGGUAACAGUGGAGAAUCAGCAGUGAAGAAAGACUGAGUGGCUGGUGGUGUAAAGAAGAGGGAAACCAUGCGGUAAAUGUGUUUCAAGCAUCUGGCUUGGGGAUGGCAGUACAAUGGCAGAAAGGAGGGAGACUUCAAGCUUCCCACUUUCUAGAGUGGGAGAUGGAUAGAAAAAUGCGGUGAGAAGAAAUAAAGCAGGUUGAUGCAAUGGAGUGUAAUGGAGGCUACAUUCAUUAGCUGAUUUGGUCAGAAAGACAACCUUAUGAAGACAGGAAGUAAGUCUUCUAAGUGAAGAACAUUCUACUCACAAUGAACAGAAAGUGCGAAGACCCCAAGGCAGGGGCACGAGAGCCACUCCAGACUCCCAACACUCUUUGUUACCUUUGCAUCUUACAGUAUGAACCUGCUCUAGUCCACUAGAAUUGCUCGUCACUGACUUCUUCGGGUUAAUCGGAUGACGUAAUAAUCUAAUUAGUCAUACCACUUCUAACUUCAACCUCCAAUUAGCAGAGGGAAGAUCUCUCAACAAAAACCAUGUUACUCCUUUGCUUGGAAUUCUUCCCUCCUAAAGAAGUCCGAUCUUUCUUUGGUGCUUAAUACUUUACGCAGAUACCAACUUUUCAGCCUCAAUAAACCCCAUCACUUCAUAUACCAACUACUCUUGAAACUUGUAUUGUCUCAACUCUGUCCUGUUAUUGCACAGCUAGUUUCUUCAAAUACUAAAUCAUUUCCCUCACUACCACCUUGUCUUCUUUGUGUUGUUUCACCCUUUGGACUCAAACCCCAGGCUGCCUUAACUAUUUAGCAUUUUCUGUGGCCUGUUAACAUACUACUUACUGUGUUGUAACACAGGGCCACUUUAACCCUUUUCUGCAUCUCCUUCCAUUUUAAGGGCAGGGCCACUUUUUUUUUCUUUUUCUGUUUGUGUGGUGUGUACAUGUGUUCUCUCAUGAUCUAGGUGUUGUUUCUUACACUUUUAAAAUAAAUUGUGUAUGAGAGGUUGCCUUAUACACUUACACACACAACACACAGCCUAGUAUAUGAGGAUGUCAGAGAGAGCAUUAGUUCCCUGUAACUGGAGUUGUAGUUGGUUAUGCACUACAGUGAGUGCUGGGAACUGAACUAGGGUCCUCUGCAAGAACAAGGAAGGGUCUUCUGCUCACAAAUUGCACAGCCAUUUCAAGAACUCCUCUUCUCUUUUUUGGAGACAGGGUCUAAGUAGCCCUGGCUGGCCUGGAUCUUGUUAUGUAGACCAGCCUGGCCUCUAACUCCUUAGUGCUUGCUGUCCAGCUUCCACGUUUUAUAGUUUGUUUUCUGAGAGAGGGUCUUUAACUGACCAAUUAAUCUAGAUUGGUUGGCUCAGAAUCUGACAGUGUCCAUUCCAUCCAGUGCUCGGACUAAAGUACACAU